GGGUAGGGUAAGGCAGUGUCCAGAGGGAUUUUCAGGAGAAAGCUUUUGGUACAGGAGCUUUGAGUGGAGGAGAAAGGAGAGAGGGGCAGGAGGUGCAAGUAUCCAAAUAAGCUAUUAGAAGGCCGGCAGGCAAAUUACUGCUUUCUAGCAGUGUUAGGGAGCUUAAAACUAUUCGGCCAUCUUCACUGUAAUAAAAUUAAUUGUGUUGAUAUCAGGCAGCUGUGCGAGUGAAGGCGGAUCAGCGCAGAACAUUUGCGACUGAUUGUCAUCUACAGCACUGUGAAAGGGAGCUUAGGGAAAAACACUCCUUGCUUAAAUGUUACCAGUCAGUUUUUAUGCACCUCACUCUUUCCUUUCCUCAGGGAGACGCUGGAGACAGAGGCCCCAAAGGUGACACGGGAGAAAAGGGUGAUCCCGGAUCAUCUGCUGCAGGAAUCAAGGUAAUAACUCUGGAGAACCUGGAGAAUCUGGUCGCCCAGGGCAAAAGGGUGAACCAGGGCUUCCCGGGCUUCCUGGGCUUCCGGGGAUCAAGGGAGAACCAGGUUUCAUUGGUCCUCAAGGGGAACCAGGCUUACCAGGGUUACCGGGAACAAAAGGCGAGCGUGGGGAGGCAGGGCCACCAGGAAGAGGGGAGCGAGGCGAGCCCGGAGUCCCUGGGCCGAAGGGUGAUCGUGGAGACAAAGGGGACUCUGGAGCUCUGGGACUGAGGGGUCCCCCAGGGCAAAAGGGGAUCCAGGAGCCACGGAGAUCAUAGACUACAAUGGCAACCUCCAGGAAGCCUUACAGGGUCCCCCUGGGCCUCCUGGACCUCAAGGACUACAAGGGCCAAAGGGCGAGGCAGGGUCUCCAGGGAACCCAGGAGUUGAUGGAGAGCAGGGACUCAAAGGCUCAAAGGGGAGACACAGGGGACCCAGGGGUGCCAGGUGAAAAAGGAGGAAUUGGGCUUCCUGGAUUACCGGGUGCCAAUGGGAUGAAAGGAGAAAAGGGAGACUCCGGACUGCCAGGCCCUCAAGGUCCUUCCGUAAGUGCCCAGGCCGAACACCCCGGCUCCCGGAACGCGCGGGCAGAGUUGCAGUUCCCCAGGCCAGCCAUGGCAUAGCGCGCCAGCAGCAGGCAGAGUGAGCACCAAGACAGCCCGUCCCCUUGCCCAGUGAGAGACACCGCGUGUUGAGAGACACCGCGUGUCAGCUGCCCGGGUCAGAAGCAGUUUUCCAAAGGGCUGUUGAAUUCCAAGAAGAAAACAAUGUCAGCAGUUUUCCCACAGCACUUAUGGGUAGAGUUUUGUGAAAAGUAGAGCUUAUAUUCUUUCUUUUCUCCAGACUCCCUGUCGGCACAUGGCGAAAUAUUGGAGUUUCACAGUGGUUGUGGCAUUAUAGCCAUUCUUGGUAGUCAGUUGCUUCUUUCCCUUUAAUGUAUGUUUAAUACAUUUGGGCAUUCGUACAACUGUGUUUUUUAAGCUAUUGGACUCUCAUGAAGGAAUUUCUAAACCCAGAAAACCAAACAUCACUUCCUGCAGUCUUUCUUUCGCGGUGGCUGUUAAUGGCCUUAGCAGAGCCGAGCACAAGACCCAGGCUGACCUGCCUUAUCUAAAUGGAGUAACCAAAUCCAUGUUUGUUUUUUGGAUACGCAGAUCAUAGGCCCACCGGGCCCCCCAGGCCCCCACGGUCCUCCUGGCCCCAUGGUAAGUUUCCCAUCCCUCCCGAAGGUACUUGUUUAUUUAUGAGCAUGCUGUGGACAAAGCAGGAACACAUCCUGGGAAGAGCCAGCGUGGACGCUGCAGUACUCUCCGGGGGAUGGGGAGAAACUCAGAGGUGCUCCGAGAUGCAGACUUGUCAGUGCUGCGCACUUCCAGAACACACAUGUGGGAGACAGUGACAGGACAGGAGGAGAGACAGUGCGCCAAGCUGUACUCCCACCUCACAGCGUGGACACUGGCAAAUUGUUUUAACCAGUCAUUGCUCCAGUCUCUUAGCAGCAAAGUAAGAUAAUGACAACCCUCUACAGAAUGCUUCUAGUCCUCUCUGAGGCUUGAGAGCCUCUAAUGAAGUGUCCGGUAAAUAGUGUGGGAAAAGUUGAAGUACAUUUCCACAGGGUAAGGCUCUUGUCCUUUCUUGGUUGGGUACCUGGGAGACUUCCUGAGCCGGGCCUCAUGUGGCCACAGGUGUCCUGCAGUGACUGGUGGAGACAGCUUGACCUCAGAGGACUUAGGUCCAGGGAGGAAGGUGGCCAUCGAACCGGCAUCCUUCCCGGCAUCGGACUGAGGACGGGUGCGCCCAGGCUAGAAGGUAGAAGGCAGGGUGCUUCAGUACUCUCGACGGGCGAGAGCAGGGCAGGGCAGGGCAGGCAGUCUGGAAGGCCAUGCUCGUCUGUAAGGUGUUCCUGCAAACCAGAGACAGCAGUAAUGCAGGUUAAAUGGGGCCUGCUCCUUUCUCCUCCCUGCCCUAAAGAGAGCAUUACUGAAAUGAUCCGGGCCGACAGAAGCCCAGUCAUCCACUUCUCACUGACCAGAUUCCACCUUGUUUCCUUUAUUUUUCUGUUCGUCC
rnacentral:lncRNA from 1 species